rnacentral:lncRNA from 1 species
GUAGUAAUUUAUUGUUACACACACACACACACACACACACACACACACACACACACACACACUAGGUUAACAUCAACCACCGCACCAUCCAGGCACUCCCCAGCCACCACGUGUGGGCACAAAGACACACACACCCCUCUUGGUAGGCAGAUUUCCCUGUCUGCUCCCCUCUUCCUGUGGGAGAGGCAUGCCUUCUGGGCAGUUUAAAGGUGGGAAAAAACUAAGUCCAUCCCUUAUGACUGUCUCGGGCCCCAAAGGUGAAGGGCAGCUCCGGCAAGGGGAGAACUCCGAUUGAUUGGAGUCCCUGUUGGGGCAGUAGCAGGGUUCCACCCACCGCGGUCCUAGGCCUGGGGGCGAAGUCCAGGCCUGGCCACAAGGUUCAAAGAUGUGUCAGACCCAAGCCGCUACCCCCUACUCCGAGGGCGAGGGCGGAGAGGCUCAGCCCCAGGGGCGGGGCCUGUAGUCGGAGGCCGAGCGGGCGUGGUCCGGGUAGUCCAGGCGGCUCUCGGUGGCAGUGAGCAUGCGCUCCGGC